CUCUCCUAACUAGCCACAGGAGAGCACGGAGGGUAGGCGAGGCGGCAGAGGAGGGUGUGUAAACACUUUCUAUGCUGGAAAUGCACAAGGCUGAGUCACAUGUCCCAGCCGGUACCUUCAAUUAGCUGUUGGCGUGCCAGGUUUUUGCAGUGUGAUCCAGUGCCGCAGGAACUGUCACUUAGCACAUUGAUUAAAAUGAUCGAGGGCUGCACCAGAGCCUUCCCCGAGGUCCCAGAAACACCCAGAAAAUGCAGAUAUUGUGGAGGAGGAGAGAGCCAGGGUGAAGUCAUGGAGCAUCCUUGGCUGACCUCAGCUCCAGACGCAGCAUCCACGGAGACCGGACAAUCUGAGCAAACCUUUGCACUGUGGCGGUGAGAAGCCGGAAGAAGGAAACAUGAGGCCGUCUGGAGAAGCUCGGAGCCCUCUGGAGUGGACCUGGGACCAAGAGAGCAUGUGACCCCUGCUUUGUCAGUGAGGGUUGCCCUUCUGGCUUGGUUUCUGAGAACAGAAAAGGAGAGAACACCAGCGAGGAGGCAGUCCUGGAUUGUUUCCGCAUAACGGAGUGGAUGAGUCCGUGGGUCAGACCCUCUGCCCCCGGCUGGGGACGUGGGACACAGAGCUGGGCUUCUCACCAGCACCGUCCCCAAGAGCAGCAUGAGAGCUAAGGUAUGAAUGAUGCUUCUUCUGGAAACUAAUUUGGUCUUACGACCCAAGAGCAUGAAGCAAUGUCUGCAGAUGUUGUUUGUUAUCACCACCAGAGGGGGACACUGGCUUCCAGCGGACAGAGACCAGAGGUACUGGAAAACAUACCCUAGAGCACAGGGCGGCCUCCAUGUGUGGGAAUUAUCCAGCCCCAAAUGCUGAUACUACUGAGGUUGAUUAGAUGAAGUAAAUGGUGUGUGUGUAUGUGUGUGUGUGUGUGUGUGUGUGAGAGAGAGAGAGAGAGAGAGAGAGAGAGAGAGAGAGAGAGAGAGAUCAUUCAGCUUCAGAUACUACAAUGAAAUACCAGAAGCAGCUGACUUAUAAAUAUAAAAGGUUCAUUUAGCUCAGAGCUUUGGCUGUUCAACAACAUGGCACCCGUGUCAGCUCAGUUAUGGGGAGGGUGGCAGCUACAGCAUGUGCAGGGGCAACUCCCCCAUCUAGCCUGGGGCCUGCACAGACAGAGAGGGUGGACUGGGCCCCACAACCCCUGAAUGGCCAUCCCCAGGGAUUUAAGAAUCUCCCAUAAGCCCCGCCUCCCAAAAGUCACAACUCCUAUCCCAGACACCUGGGGACCAAGACUUUAACAUGUGGACUUUGGGGACAUUGUCACUACACCCAAACCACAGCAGUGUCCCCCAGGAAACUGACUCCAAGAAGAGGCAGUCUUAGAAAUUCAAGGGCUCCUUCUUGACCUAUGAAAAGAAUCAAGAAGAUAGAAUUUCUGCCUCCCUUUAAAAGAAACAUCUUAAAACUUUGGUCUCCAUUUAAAAGAAGCAUCUUUUAGUACACUUUUCACUAAAGAACCUAUGAAAUCUGGUCAUGAGUGUAAGACAUUAACAUUUCCACUAAAUAAAACACCAGUUUCAAAGAGAUAAUUUCGCAUCUAGUUUGAAGACUUCUUUCAACUUUACCUACCAGUUCAGAUUCAGACUCAUCUUCCCAGCUAACCAUUUUGUUAUUGGAAAAACUCAACAUUCAGGAACAUUGGAUAUUAAACUCUUCUCUUCCCCUCCCUCUCCCCCUUGUCCUAUAUCACUGUGUAACUAGAUUUGGUAAUAAUUAAGCAUCACCCAGAUGGUGGGUGGAUAUCUACUGACAAUUACCCACAGAUGCCACAUAAACUCCAUCUGGCCCAGAGAAGCAUGAGUCUAGCUAUUCUGGAGGUAAA